AACGAACGCUGGCGGCAUGCCUAACACAUGCAAGUCGAACGAGAUCUUCGGGUCUAGUGGCGCACGGGUGCGUAACGCGUGGGAAUCUGCCCUUUGGUUCGGAAUAACAGUUGGAAACGACUGCUAAUCCCGGAUGAUGACGAAAGUCCCAAGAUUUAUCGCCAGAGGAUGAGCCCGCGUAGGGUUAGCUAGUUGGUGUGGUAAAGGCGCACCAAGGCGACGAUCCUUAGCUGGUCUGAGAGGAUGAUCAGCCACACUGGGACUGAGACACGGCCCAGACUCCUACGGGAGGCAGCAGUGGGGAAUAUUGGACAAUGGGCGAAAGCCUGAUCCAGCAAUGCCGCGUGGGUGAUGAAGGCCUUAGGGUUGUAAAGCUCUUUUACCCGGGAUGAUAAUGACAGUACCGGGAGAAUAAGCUCCGGCUAACUCCGUGCCAGCCGCCGCGGUAA
rnacentral:rRNA from 1 species